rnacentral:rRNA from 1 species
ACGCUCGACACCUACGGGAGGCAGCAGUGGGGAAUAUUGCACAAUGGGGGAAACCCUGAUGCAGCGACGCCGCGUGGAGGAAGAAGGUCUUCGGAUUGCAAACUCCUGUUGUUGGGGAAAAAGAGGAUGGUACCCAACAAGGAAGUGACGGCUAACUACGUGCCACAGCCGCGGUAAUCUGAGGCGGCUGGACAAGGC